AGUGAACGCUGGCGGUAGGCCUAACACAUGCAAGUCGAACGGCAGCACAGGAGAGCUUGCUCUCUGGGUGGCGAGUGGCGGACGGGUGAGGAAUACAUCGGAAUCUACUCUGUCGUGGGGGAUAACGUAGGGAAACUUACGCUAAUACCGCAUACGACCUACAGGUGAAAGCAGGGGACCUUCGGGCCUUGCGCGAUUGAAUGAGCCGAUGUCGGAUUAGCUAGUUGGCGGGGUAAAGGCCCACCAAGGCGACGAUCCGUAGCUGGUCUGAGAGGAUGAUCAGCCACACUGGAACUGAGACACGGUCCAGACUCCUACGGGAGGCAGCAGUGGGUAAUAUUGGACAAUGGGCGCAAGCCUGAUCCAGCCAUACCGCGUGGGUGAAGAAGGCCUUCGGGUUGUAAAGCCCUUUUGUUGGGAAAGAAAUCCAGCUGGCUAAUACCCGGUUGGGAUGACGGUACCCAAAGAAUAAGCACCGGCUAACUUCGUGCCAGCCGCCGCAGUAA
rnacentral:rRNA from 1 species